GAGAAGAGGGGCUGGGGCGGAACAUGGUGGAGGAGGGAGGGGGGAAGUGUGAGGGAAAGGCACUCUUUGAGGGGCUGGUAGAGUUCAGGGCGCUGUGAGGGCUUGGGGAGCUGUGACGGGAGCGUGAGGGCUCGGGGGGUCCAGUCGAUAUGGGGGCUUGGAGAUCUGUAAGGAUUCAGGGGUAGAUGAGGGGAGUGUGAGGGCUUGGGGGUCUGUGAUGGAACGGUGAGGGUUUGGGGGAUCUGGGGGCUGUGAGGGCUCAGAGGGUCCAGCUGUUGUGAGGGGGCCAUGAAGGUCCAUGGGGCUUUGAGGGGUUGGGAGACUGUAAGGACUUGGGGGCUGUGAGGGCUUGGAGGUCUGUGAGGGGAUUGUGGGGGCCUGGGCAGCCAUGAGUGGUCUGGUGCUGUGAAGGCUCAGGAGGUCCAGCAUUUUGAGGGGGCCAUGAAGGUCCAUGGGGCUGUGAGGGCUCGGGGGGGCUGUGAAGGGUCGUGGGGCCAUGAGAGCUCUUGGGUCAGGCUGAACCGCUCAGUGCCAGCUCCCCUGUGCUGUGAGGGGAGUGCCCCUGUGAGGGGGUCUGUGUGAGGUGGGUGCUGCUUGCCCUUGGUGGCCCCUCCAUCCUGAACUGUGUGUGGGUGCUGCAGCCUUGUCAUGAGGCAGCUGAACACCCCGGGCUGGAGAAACCACCCUUGCCUUUCCUCUGACCCUUAUUCCACCGCCCAGCUUUGUGAGCACAUUCCUGCCCAGCCAGUGCAUCCAUUGGUCACAGUUUCUAUUAAGCACACUUUGAUUAUUGUUUCAGCAGAGCCUUUGUAUGGUUAUAUGUAUUCAUUGGGAUGCCAGCUGGGUCUACGAGUCCCAGCAUCUCUUCUUGUUUCACACUGUAGCAAAAACUUGAAAGAGGCUCCUAAAGCCAGGGAGUCUCACCCUCCUGCCUCGUUGUGCUGAGGCAAAGGCAGCAGUGACCUCAAUCCUGCCGACACACAGAGCACACCAGGCCAGCUCUGUGUCACUCAGGCGUUCAUGUGACACACAGAGAUGUUGUUCCUUGUACACAUAUCCUGGGAUCUGUGCCUGGAUAACAAUAAUCCAAUCCUGUGCCUGCAUCAGGCAAGGAGGUGGCUGGAGAAGAACAGCCCUGUGGAGGUUGAGUAGCCCCUGGUAGUUGGCUUAAUAUAAAGGUUAUGGUGAUCGAUAUUUCUGGCAUAUAAACAUCAUAUUCCCACAGAGGUGCUGGAAGGAGUCCAGGAACUCUUGGAGCAGCCCCAGAGACCCUGGGAGGAGCCCCAGAGCAUCGGGAACCUGAGAGGAUCCUGGGACAGACCUGUGUCUGCCUCAGAGGUGCCCAGGGAGACACACAGAGCUCAUCCUUCACGUCUGAAACCGGAAUGCAGGAGAAAUUAUGCUGCUGAGAGACCAAAGUUCCUUGAAGUGAGGGGCUGCUUCCAGAGGCUGGUGAGUGAGGAGUGCAGUUGUGGGAUUCCUGCUUGAGAGAAAUCAGAAGGGCUGGAUGGGAUCAAGCCACAGGCCCACCCAGGCCAGCAUCUUGUCUCUCAUGAUCUGCAGCAGUUACCAAAGAACAGAGCAAGCAGAUCUGGAUGUGGCAGGUGGUUCAGCCAAUUCUUUAGCCACAAGCAAUUGCUGAGAGCAGCAGAACUGCAGUUGCACAUGAGCAGAAAUUAUCUGCCAGAAGAUCUCUCCCAGGGUUCAGCCUGAGUGAGAAGCAAGGGACUUGUGUAUAAACAUAAAGAACUUAUGGACAGAUAGAAAAUCCUCAUUAUUUAUCAUUUCCACAGUUGAAUUCUAACCAAAGGCCUGCAAGCAUCUUUGUUUCAAAGCUUGCCUAGAUCCUUCCUACAUUCUUCAGAAGGUUUGAGCAAAGAACACAUCAGAAGGUGUAGGCACAUCUCCCACCAACUAAAUACCAGCAGCCAGGUUAUCUGAAAUAAUUUUCUUUCACUGUGCCUUCAGGUGUUCCCAUUGUAGCCCCAAAGUACAGCAAAACACAGCAAAACAGCUCUGGAGUAAACAGGCCAAAUCAGCACCCCCCAUCCUGCUCACUGAAACACUCUGUGUUCACAAUAACCCCCCUGCUUUGAUCCCUUGCCAAGAAUAACACAGACAGUCUAUUAAAACAUCUUUAAUAACAUGAUAUAAUUAAAAAUAUCUAACGUGCAACUCAAAGAAA